AAAUAAUUUGGAUUCAAAGAUUCACCAUAACAACCUUCUCAACAACAUUCUUGCAAAGAUAGAAGGUAAUAAUGCUGGGGCUGAUGAUGCAAUCAUGCUCGAUAAAGAUGGCUAUGUGUCAGAAACUAAUGCUACAAAUAUAUUCUUGGUGAAGAAAGGGCGUGUGGUGACACCUCAUGCUGAUUAUUGCCUUCCUGGCAUAACUAGAGCAACAGUCAUGGAGCUUGUGCUGAAGGAAAGUUUAGCUUUAGAGGAGCGAAGAAUUAGCUUAUCAGAAUUUCACACUGCUGAUGAGGUGUGGACAACAGGAACUAUGGGGGAGCUGAGCCCGGUUGUCAAAAUUGAUGGACGUAUAGUUGGUGAUGGUCGAGUAGGACCUAUAACUCUGAGAUUGCAAAAUGCUUACAAGAAUCUCUCAAAAGAUUCAGGAGUGCCCAUACCAACUUAUGAGAAGAGCUAAAUACGUAGUUUCCAGGUGUAUCAAAACAACAGAGCUGGAGAAGGGUUGUUCUUCUAUCUAGACAAAAAAAAAAUUAAAAAAAAUUCGUGUAAUAAUGUGGGUGGGAGGGCUUGUUUUCAUAUCUCCUAGAGGAAUAUCACAUUGGAGAGUCUCUCCGCGAUUUAUCAACGUUCAAUUUCAUGGUGUUAGCUUAUUUAUUCAGUCUCAAAUUACCUGAGGGUCCAUGAAUUUUCACUAGGACAUCAUUUUUUUGUUCAUUUAAUUAAAU
rnacentral:misc_RNA from 1 species